rnacentral:rRNA from 1 species
GUGGGGAAUAUUGCGCAAUGGGGGAAACCCUGACGCAGCAACGCCGCGUGAUUGAAGAAGGCCUUCGGGUUGUAAAGAUCUUUAAUUCGGGACGAAAAAUGACGGUACCGAAAGAAUAAGCUCCGGCUAACUACGUGCCAGCAGCCGCGGUAAUACGUAGGGAGCAAGCGUUAUCCGGAUUUACUGGGUGUAAAGGGCGCGCAGGCGGGCUGGCAAGUUGGAAGUGAAAUCUAGGGGCUUAACCCCUAAACUGCUUUCAAAACUGCUGGUCUUGAGUGAUGGAGAGGCAGGCGGAAUUCCGUGUGUAGCGGUGAAAUGCGUAGAUAUACGGAGGAACACCAGUGGCGAAGGCGGCCUGCUGGACAUUAACUGACGCUGAGGCGCGAAAGCGUGGGGAGCAAACAGGAUUAGAAACCCUAGUAGUCC